GGCCUAGACCACAAGAUAGGGAAGCUAAAGGAAAAGAUCAAGAAGAAGCGGAAGGAACAUCACUUUUAGCUGCUGCCCCAGAAGAUGUACAUGCAAAGCCACAUAUCAGAGAUGAAAAGGAGGAGCUCAAGCCUGAACUGGAGGAACUAUCAUGAACAUGAAUUGAAAGGUCAGCAAGAGCGUGCAUGAGCUGCUACAGCACAUGGUGCCCCAAGACUGGCCUUCUAAACAUACACUACUAUGGCUGCUCCCUCUAGUCUGCCUUCCAAAUUUCAUGCAAAAUAUUUCUAGAGAACACAAACACAAAACUAUUUAAGAAGCGGAAUUCUGCAGAAUAGUUCCUUCUAUAAUGAUCAGAGACAAAGCAGUGUUUUUCAUAAUAAUUGAAACCACUGAGAUCUUUGGUCUUGGCUAAUUGAUUAUGUUAUCCUUGGGACUAAAGUAAAACGGCAGCAAAUCAGAAUCUAGCUUUUAUCAGUGAGAAAAGCUCUAGGUCAAAGAGAAAUGUGUCUUUCCUUGUCAAAAUAGAUUUGCAGCCCCAACUGGUUCCCAAACUUGAGCCAGUUUGCUGAUCCAGACUUAGUUGAAUGAACAGGAAGCCAGGGCCCCUUAAGAAAGAAUCCUACUACACUGCCAAAAUUUAUACUUCAAAUCUUUCUCCUAGUCUUCCUUAGUAUGAUGAUUAACCAUUUGUCAGGAUGAUUUGAAUAGAAGAGGGAAUAUCCAGACGUUUCAGGAAUUAUUAGACAUUAGCUCUGAAAUGACAGUUAUUUCUGAAGACCAAAAAUAUCACUGUGUGUGCUCUAUCAGUCAGAGUAGGGGCAUAUGGGGGUCAUAUGGUUAUGAAGUUUUGACCUAUGUCUAUUUCACAAUCAGUGCUAUGGAUCUCCACCCCCAACCUAUGUUUAUCUUCUCUAUUCCAUAGUGAAAAGUUGGUAGCUCAGAAACUGGCAGUCUCCACACUGGUUUCCAGACAUAUAAGGUGAAGUCUAUUAUUAUAGGAAAAGUCACACAGAAGCCAUUAGAAUGGACUCUGUUUACCAAAAUAGUAAACCAAUGCAAUCAUACUCUUGGAGAAAUUAGAAAUAUCAUUGCCACUGUAAAGGUGAUAUAAAAUGGAGUGGUAAUCCAGACAACAUGUCAAUUCCACUUGCCUAUCUGACCUGUGCAGAAGACAGAUGGAUUUUUAAAAAUUAACAGAGAAUUACUGUAAACUUAACUUGGUGAUAGACACAAUUGCAGCUAUUCGAGUAGGUAAACAUAUUCCCAGUACCUGGUACCCAGCUAUUGUUCUGGUGAAUGAUACUUAAAAUUUAAUAGCAUUGACCACUAAAAUUAAUUUCCUUUCAGUUGGCAAGGUCAGCCUUGUUCACUGCACUAGCUCAGGGUUAUAUAAACUCGUAAUCCCUACAGCAUAAUCUUGUCUACAGCAUCGAACAUUGCCUCUCCUUUCCUUACACUGGUCCAUUUUAUGGAUGAUAUCACAUAACAUUGCUUGUGAACCAAGAAACUCAUUUUUGGGAAACAAAGUGCCUUGUAUUUAUGAAAUUUACUGGUGUAAAUUUCCCUAGCCCUGAAACAGUCAAAUUUUAGAAUGGGGUUUUGAAGACUUAGUGUGCUAGUUAACACCUUGCAGGGCUGGGUUGAUCACCUUCAAGAUGUUGUAAAUACUCUUUAUCUGUGACCAUGAUGCUAUUUUCCUUUGCAACCAUAUGGUCCUAUUUUUCCUUAGCCGGUAUUUACAGAUGAGGGAUUCGGUAGGUGGAAAUGAGAGUAGCUAAACCCUAGUGCUCCUAAUGAUCACCUAGCAAAAUGUUUCCCCAAAUUCAUAACUUCAUGGGUUCUGCAGGUUUUCAAGUCUUAAUUCCUAAUGGAAGUAGGAGACUUCCAGCAGGUGGCAUAGUAAUUAUGUCAUUAAGGCUGCCUGGUAAUUUUGGUCUCCCUGAGCCAGCAAAACAAUGAGCAAAGAUAGGGCUGCUGUAGUGUUGAGGUGACUGAUCCCAACUAUCAAAAAGAAAUUACAUUGCUUCUAGACAAUGGAAGUGGGGGGAAAUCAUGUCUAGAAUGCAGGAGCUCCUCUGGUGCAUCUGUUAAUUGUCCCAUGUCCUGUGGUCAAAUUUAAUGGAAAACUACAAGAACUCCAUGUAAAAAUAAAGGUUUUGGUCAUCUUCAUGGACAAGAAAACAUGACUAGCUGAAGUGCUUGCUGAAGGUAAAGGGAAUAUGGUACAGGUGUUGGAAGAAAGAAGUUAUAACUGCCACCUAUGAUCAUGUGAACAGCUUCAGAAAAAUGAACUGUGCUAUGAAGAGUACUUCUCUCAUUGUGAUGUGAGUAUAUUUGUAUAUGGAUAUUAACUGAUUCUUUUGUUUUCCCUCAUUUUUCAUUUUUCCUUUCUUUUUACAUUCCAUAAGUCAACUUUAUAACUCACUAUUUAAAUAACAG
rnacentral:lncRNA from 1 species